rnacentral:snoRNA from 1 species
UCCCUCUCAGAGUCGCACCUGGAGAGUUUCCAGUGCUCUACCAGUCUCAACUAUGGGAGGGAGAGUCAAGCAGGGGCAUGCCCAUUCCAUUCUUAGCUUGGCCAGUGGCUAGAGAGUGGAAGGCAAUCUGCUACCCAC